CAAAAAAAAAAAAAAAAAAUAACCAAAAGAAGCAAAACAAAUCUAUAUACCCAACAACUCUUAUAAAACAAUACACCUCAUUUAUAAUACUACACAGCUUGUUGGUUUGUAAUUUAUUUUAUAGAUACACAUUCCGUCGCAGUGUUAUGCGAUUCUAAUUUGGGUACCCAUUUUAGUCUCAUAGUUGCCUUCAAGCUUUAAAAUACCUACAUUUUUAUUUUCUACUCCUGAUAUUUUUGUUUUUCUUCUCUUUCUAUAAAAAGAAUUUUUAAAAUCUUUAAAAACAAAAAUACUCUCUUAUUUAUAAAAAUAGAUCUCUAUUUUAUUUAUUUUGCAAAAAUUUGUUUCUUUAAAUUAGUCAUACAUUUUUUUUAAAGCUUAUAUUUAUUUAUCCACAUGAACAUAAACAUAAAUUACCAUAAACCACAAAUUAAAUCUAUCUACAUCUACUCUCUACACUUCUACAACACUUAAUCAGUUCAGAAUUCAACUCAAUUAAAAAAAGAGAGAAAUAAACCAGAAAUGACAACACAAAAUAUCAUACACAACAACAAAAUGUUUUGUGUGCAAAAGAGAAUGCGCGAUGAAAGAGAAACAAAAAAAUGGUGUCUGCAUGCAACCAAACCACUGCCAGUCAGCCAGCUAAAACCAUAUCGCCAGACAGACGAGGAAAAUCUAACUAAAUCUUGAAACAAUUUUCCAUUCAAGUGCACAGAAAGAAAAUUCCUCGCAUAACCAAAGUUCCCCAACACACAACACCAACACGCAAAACACGAUACGACACAACCUAGAAGAAGUGAAUAACGAAUAAAAAAAACAUGGCUGCUAUAAACGCUGAGCGCCUGUUACAUUGGCGGCUUUGAGAUUUCUGUGUUACCUUGCUUACAACACUGCUUGCUCCUAUAGCGCUGCUGCUAGUUUCGGUCGGCUUCGGUCUGCCUGCGCUGUCUGUCACCAUCACACCACACAUGCGGCAGCGGCACGAGACACAGUCACACAAUCUCAAUCCCAGUGCAAAAAUGUGAAUAUAAUUCGAUGCUGCUUUUCGGAAUUCGCUUUGAAAAGUCAGACAUUUUCUAACUUGCUCAAUCCAACUGUAUUUUAUGCUCGCCCAGCAUAUUCCUCGAACAUCGAAUUUUACCUUCUUCAAUUGGUUUGGCCUGGCAUUCUGGCAUGCUGCUGGCAUGUUUGGGAUAAGAUCAUAAAUCUUGCGUUUUGUAUUCUCUCUCUCGUAUUUUGUGUAUUCCUCUCUCUCUCUCUCUUCUCGCCCCCUAACGGCCAAAAACAUAAACAUACUCAUACAUUCUUAAAGUAGAUGUAUGUGUAUGACCAACUGCGGGAAAUGGUACCAUGUGUGUGUGUUUGAAAUGUUUUGAAUGAAUUCGAAAAAACAGCUGACAGGUUGUGUUGUGACUUGUCAUCCACUAGUGGAGCCACUGUGCUGGUCAUCGAACUGCUAUCGAACUUGUUUGUUGCUCUCGUAUCUGUCAGAUACACUACACAGCCACUUGACAUCACACACUUCAUUUGUUGAAUGAAACAACAAAAAAAACAGGGUUAACAAAAAGAGAGAGAGAGAGAGUAUGAUAAAAUGCAGGCGAAUAACAGAAAAGAGAAAAAAAUAAAAACACAUGGUUGAGAGAGAGAGAGUAAGAGAGAGAGAACAACAACCAGGCCGGUUCGAUGAGUUUUUAUCUAUCUAAUUGUGUGUGCAAUUCCAAUUCGAAUUCCGGCAAGGCAGUUGAGGCUUUUGUGUGGUGUGUGCUGUUAGAUUAGAGGGCACGACUCCGACUUCCGACACACAGCUGUUUUUUCGCAGUAAAUUAGGGGCGAAGGAGAAUGUAUGUAUACACCAAAUCAGAGUAGAAAACGGAAUGAAAUGAAAACAAAAAUACGAACGAAUGCAUUGGCCAUAGGAGAAUUACAGAGAGUGUGGCAACUAUGAGAGUUAGGGUGAUUUGGGGAAGAAUUGAGAAAAGGGGGAAGUAGAAAUUCUGUGAUGAUGACGAAGUAGGUAUAUGCUCGGAUAUGUCCGGUGCUGGUUUUAUGGUGUCGCUGCUGUCGUCUACGUCGUCGAACGAGAAUGACUGUGCAGUGGCAGACCGACCGAAAUCAGACAACCGACUUUUGAGCGAGCAGAGCAAAACUGUGAAGAUUAUAAAAUAAUGUAGUAUAAUCGCUGUUGGCGGUGGCGGGUAAAUGUUUUUAGCUGGCAGCCUGGUAGUAGUCGUAUUUGGUACUACGUCGGGUGUAUUACGUAUUUCGGAACUUUACUCCCGUUUUGUUUUGUGUGGUAGGUUUUUUGUAUUAUAUUUUGUUUGAUCUGUUUAUCUGUCGGUUGGAUGGCCGUCCGUCGUCGCUUGUUCGUUCGGUGUCGGUCGAUAGGAUCGGAGGUUUUAUUUUGACCGAUUAAUUUAUUAUUUUCUGUGUUUUGUUCGUGUUUUUUUUGUAUUUAUAUAUUUUAUUGACUGACGCCGCCAUCUUUGUGUAGUCUUUAAGUUUUUUUUUUGUAUAUUUUACUCCUCCGUGAAGGUAUUCAAUUUAAUUUUGCGCAGGCAUAUGUAUGUUUUUUUUUUUUGAAAACAAAAAAAACAAACAUCAUCCCUCUCCUCACCCUCCCUUGUGUAUAGAGACUAUUUUUAUGAUAAUUUUUUCAUGAUGAUAUAGAGCUUUUAUUUUAAUUGAUUUUUCGAGUGUUAGUAACAAAUAUAAGACAAGAGGGAUAGAUAAAAAAAAAAAUAAAAAAAAAACUGGAAAAAGAUGAAUAUAUUUAAGAUUUAAAUUAAAUAAUUACGAUAAUUUGCGUUUUAAGAAUUUAUAGUACUUUUUAGGGUUGGGAUAAAUAAUUUUUUCGUAGUGUAAAAUAUAGUAUUAUUUCAUGUAAUUUGCGGUUAGGAGUGCAGUUUUGGUGCUUUUUAACCUUUUAGUAUUGAUUUGAGCUUUUGAAUAUGCAUUUCAGUAAAUUAUCUGAGAAUUUAAUCGUAAUUUUCUUUUUUUAAUUUGAGCGUUGGGCGCCAUUUAAAAGAAGAAAAAGAUUCAAAAAUUGUUUUUUUUUGUGUUUUGGGAUUAGGUAUCACGUCUUAAAAUUAAUAAUACCUACCUUAAUGGAUCAGUGUUUUAUAUGAAAGUUGUGAUAUGGUUGUUUUGAGACGAGAGUUACAACUUUUUGUUCUUGAUACAUUUAAAGUGCUUGAGAACUUGGGUUAUGCAAGAUUCAUUUAUGAUUCUUAAAUUAUGUAUUAUUUUGUUUAACUAGAAUUGAGGAAACUCAAAUGCAUUAAAGUUUGUGGAUCUUUUUGUUGGGCGCCAUUUAAGAAUAGAACAUAACAAGUAGUAGCAAACUCACGUUGGGCGUAGUUAAAUAAAAUAUUAUUUUCUAUUAAUUCUUUUGCUAUGUUCAAGUUCAAGUUUUGCGAUGUAGAUAGUUGACGUUGGGCGCCAUUUCAAAUUAUUGAUGAUUGAUGUUUUUUCAAAAAGCUAUUGAUUAAGUAUCUACUUAAAUAAUGUAAUUGCUAUUUGAAUAUAUUUAUUUAUAUCUAAAAAAAAAAAUAAAAAAAAACUAAACUUGGUUUUAUUGUCAUCCAUAAAUAAGUCCAAACAAAACAUAAAUGGCGCCCAAUGUGAUCUGUUUAGGUAAAAAGUAAAAAUUCUUAAAAAUAAGAAUAGAAAAAGACAUUUUAUUAAAUGGCGCCCAACGUGAGUCAAUUAGCAAAUUUUUAAGAACUUAAUGAAACGGGUUUCAUUAACUUAAUUUUUUGUUGGCUCCUUUACUGGAAAACUUGUUAAAGGUGGUCCCUCAACUAGCUUCUGCUUUAGGUUGAGAUUUUAUAACAGAAUUUCAGGAAUUGAAUUAAAACCUUUCCAUUUCAUAUCGAUUUGUUGGUUUGCUGUUAUUUAUUCGUUUUAGGACCAUUCGAAUCCUUAAUUGUCUGACACUAGUCAAUUUACAUAAGAACUUCAUGAAAAUAGCUACAUCCAUUCUAAUUCAAAUUGACUUUUUGGUUUGCUGUCUUAAUAUUCAUUCAGAGAGCACCAGAAUCCUCAACUGGCUCACGUUGGGCGCCAUUUAAAAAGUUUGCUUAGUAUUAAUUAUUUACAAAGCAUAUAAAAAGCAAAUACACUUUAUAUCUAGUCAUCUUCAAAGCAAGAAGAAACCCACAUUGGGCGCCAUUUUGAAAAGUCUCUUAAAAUUACUUUAGGAACUUUAUGACUUCUUUGGAACUAUUUCCACACAAAAAAAAAAAUCAAAUUAAAGAAAGAAAGAAAAAAAAAA